rnacentral:lncRNA from 11 species
UGUGCGUGGAGCUAUGCCAAACUUUAGGAGAUGGUUCCUCGUAAGGUGCAUCUGCAACCCAGUGGUUGAGAGAUGCAUGACGUCUUUCCCCUUGCUCACUUUGCUCUUACAGUGCUGGCAUACUGCUGUAAACUUAAAAGCUGGCAAUACAUUCAUCUUUUACAUUCAUUACAAGAGGUUUGCCGUGGCCUUUCUUUGAGGCUGAGAAAGUGGGAUUUACCCACGGUUGUCUGUUGCCUGGUGUGUCCACCUCUCUAGAGGUAAGAUUUGGCAUCUUC